rnacentral:lncRNA from 12 species
ACUAUCUCCUUUUCCUCUGGCAUGUUUUUAAGACUGCAAGAAGUUUCUGUGAUGAAAAUCUAGACUGACUAUAUUUAAAGUGGUGCAACCAAUGUCAAUAUUCCUGAUCGGAAUUUUUCCCUGUGAUGAGGUCACCCUGAAUUAUUUUCCACUGAGAGUAAACGGAGCUGUUUUAGCUUUUGUGUAUAGCAAGUACUCUUGGAAUCAUCCUGGAUGUCCUAUAUUAUGCUCUCCCGAGACUAAUAUCCUUCCAGUAUAAAGGUUUUAGAAUAACCUAGAAAAUAUUAGAGAGAAGAGUGAAGAUGUAGA